rnacentral:rRNA from 1 species
GAUGAACGCUGGCGGCGUGCCUAAUACAUGCAAGUCGAGCGAACAGACGAUGAGCUUGCUCCUCUGACGUUAGCGGCGGACGGGUGAGUAACACGUGGAUAACCUACCUAUAAGACUGGGAUAACUUCGGGAAACCGGCGCUAAUACCGGAUAAUAUAUUGAACCGCAUGGUUCAAUAGUGAAAGACGGUUUUGCUGUCACUUAUAGCUGGAUCCGCGCUGCAUUAGCUAGUUGGUAGGGUAACGGCUUACCAAGGCGACGAUGCGUAGCCGACCUGAGAGGGUGAUCGGCCACAUUGGAACUGAGACACGGUCCAGACGCCUACGGGAGGCAGCAGUAGGGAAUCCUCCGCAAUGGGCGGAAGCCUGACGGAGCAACGCCGCGUGAGUGAUGAAGGUCUUCGGAUCGUAAAACUCUGUUAUUAGGGAAGAACAAAUGUGUAAGUAACUAUGCACGUCUUGACGGUACCUGAUCAGAAAGCCACGGCUAACUACGUG